GAAUUGAAUACUUCAUUCAAGGCUAAUGAAAAAAGAAGUGUUUGGUUGAUCAUGUGAAUGGAAUAAGGCAUUACAUACCCCAUUCCAUUCCUUCUAAAAUUGUUGAAAUCUAUUCCUGGCCUACCCCCAGCUUUUUUUUCAUUCCGUUCAAUAACAAAAGGUUGUUUCUCUAUUUUGCCCCCUCCUCACCGAUUAUCCCUCUCCUUCCAUCGAUGUCGCCAUCUUCAUAGAGCAGAACGUCACUCCUCUGGAACCCUAAAAUUUGCCCAGUUCGUCGUGAUUUUCAUCAUCAGACACGAAAUCAGCUUGAAAGAGUCGGAAGAAAUAACUGGUGCGGAGAUUAGGGAGGCUAUAAAUACUUUCAAUAGUGUUUUUGGAACUGAGAGCAAUAGGGAGGAACUAUGUAACAAUCUUUUUGCGGAGAUGAACAAAGUUGUGGGUUUGACUACUCGUGAAUGUGACAAGGUUGUAUGUAAGCUCGCACAAAAUGAAGAGUUGAUGGUAAUUUUUUUUAAGGUUGAUGAAGAACGCAAAUUUGGAUGGGUAAAGACUAUGCUUGAAGAUAUUGCUUGACGUGAUAUACGAUGACUUUUGGAUUAUUUUUUAAUUUUUUUUUAAUAUAUAUUUAUUAUAAUUUUUAAUGGAAAAUUUUGUGAAAACUAGUAAUUUUUCUUUAUUUUUAGACAAGGGUAUUGUUGUCAUUUUCAA